rnacentral:misc_RNA from 1 species
GCCAUUAUUAAGGAUAAGUACAUUUCUAUGCUUACCUGAAAUAUCUUAAACUGAAGUUGCCAUUAUUAAAAAAGAAGCUCACAAAAGGCAGCAUUAUUCAAAAAGAUGCCAAAGAAUUAGUUCACGGUCCAACAUAAAACCAAAAAAAAAAAAAAAGAAGAAAUUCAACAUUUAAAUAUAAAAGAGCAAGUGUAAUAAUCAUUUUAGCUGUAAAAUUAAAGCAAUAAAACUAAUACGAUAAGCAAGUCACCCUUCAGUUUGGUCAGAAUCUGCGAUUCAGGGUAAGAAAGAAAAUGAAUUGAUAUCGGAUGAUAUAUAUCUAAGCAAUUCUAACUGAAACCAUGGCUUGUUCCAAUUUAAUCCACAUGGUGUCUCUUUGUGUCCACA